UACAGAGGGGGCAAGCGUUGUUCGGAAUUACUGGGCGUAAAGGGCGCGUAGGCGGCCUGCUAAGUCGGACGUGAAAUCCCCGAGCUCAACUCGGGAACUGCGUCCGAUACUGGCAGGCUUGAAUCCGGGAGAGGGAUGCGGAAUUCCGGGUGUAGCGGUGGAAUGCGUAGAGAUCCGGAAGAACACCGGUGGCGAAGGCGGCCUGCUGGGCUAUGGCUGACACUGAGGCGCGACAGCGUGGGGAGCAAACAGG
rnacentral:rRNA from 1 species